CUAAUAAAGGAGAAGGAUGAGCUAAAUAAAGGGGAGGAAUAAGUAUACCUUUUCUGGAGAUGGGCAGACAUUAUCUGAGAAUUUAGUUACAGCCUCUACUCCCUCCUUUUAUGGUUCUUUCCAGUCAUCACCAUGGCAACCGUCAACUGUCACAGCACCGAGGAAUGUGACAUUUAGCAUGGGGAUGGCUCAUAAUGAAAGCUAGAGGUUGUCUGGGGUCACUCAGCAGUCGCUGUAGAUCCAGCCUGUUUUGGCUGGCCCUGCUGAAAAGGAGCCUCUGGCCUACAGGCUCCUGUCCUGAAAGAUAAACCAGAUUAAGGGUGGGUAGAAAUUCAGCCAGCUCAAGUGAACAGCACAAGAUCAGGGUAGGUAAAACCAUAGCCCACAAUGUACUCUCAUCUAGAAAAAGGCUCUUUACAGGUGGAAUUAAGUGAAAAUGAAGUCAGUACCAUCAACUUCAACCCAGUAUGACUGUUGUCCUUAUAAAAAGUCCACAGGGAGAAGCAAGCCAACACCCGCCUUGGCUCCAGACUCGGGAACUCCAGGUUGUGGCCCUUCCCUGCGGCAGCCCUGGCCAGCUCACUGCUAGACAGACUUCCUGCAGCAACCGGUGCACACACCUCCUGCUUCCUGAAGGGAGGCUGCUCCCCCGGCAAACAAGGCAGCGCUUCCUGUUCCCAGUCUCUGCUUCCAGGAUGUUAGUCUUCCUCCCUCAGCUACACAAUAGCUUCCAAGGCCAACGUCCCUCCUUCCGGCCCUGCCUUUCCUCCACCCAGCACUUCAGCACCCGUCAUCAAAGGAGAUCUCAACAUCCACGGAGGGACCCAUGCAACCCCCAGGUUCAAGGUUCCUCCGCCACCAGGGCUUUCACAUCCACUCCAUCCACCCAUGUUCAGGGCCUCCCCACACCUGUGUCACCUCUUCCACCCCCCCCCAAUGGCUUUACCUGUGACACCAGGAGCACUGGCCUCAUGCCCUUUGACCUCUCUCUCUUCUCCAUCAACCAGCUCUGCCCUUCCUGCCGGUCCCAGUAGGGGACUAGCACUUCUGCCUGCCUGGCCAAGGCUCUCUCUUCCCUUCCUGGAUAUCAUCCCUGCCCUGGGGCAUCACCAGUCACCAGUUAUCUCCCCUCAGCCCUCUGUCCAUCUGCCGUCACCUCUUUCUAGCCUUUUCCCAUCAGUAUUUACUCAGCCAAAUCUAUCUCAGCUUUAAAGAGAGAGUUCUGUACACAUGAUUUUUUUUUUUCUGGAAGAAAAAUAUAAGAAACUGAUUGGCCUGGGUGGUAGUUCAGUGAUAGAGUGCUUGCCUGGCAAGUGUAAGGCCCUAGGUUGGAUCCACCCCAGCCUGGAAAGAAAAAAAAGAAAAAGAAAAAGAAAAAGAGAGAGAGGGAGAGAGAGAGGGAGAGGGAGAGAAAGAAAGAAAGAAAGAAAGAAAGAAAGAAAGAAAGAAAGAAAGAAAGAGAAGGAAAGAAAAAGAAAGAAAGGAGGGAGGGAAAGAAGAGGGAAGGGGAGAGAAGGAGAGAAGGAGGAAUGGAAAGAAGGAAGAAAUAAAGAAAGGAAAGAAAGAAGAAAAAAGAAAAGAAAGAAGAGAAAGAAGAAAUUGAUCAUAAUUAUCUUUGGAGAGAGACUGAAAAGUACAGUAUUUUAUUUUUCAUUUAAUAAAUUUGCUUUAUAUAGCCUUUGACUUUUAACCACAUACAUGUAAUAACAUUGUUGUUAAAAAUAGCAAAUGGAUAACAAAUGGUGGUAGGGGUGUGGGGAGAAAGGAACCCUUCUCCAUUCCUGGUGGGAGUGCAGGCUGGUGCAACCACCAUGGAAAUCAGUAUGGAGAGACCUCAAAGAACUAGGCUUAGACAUCCCAUUCGACCCAGCUAUCCCCCUGCUGGGUAUUUUCCCCAAAAAAUUAAAAGAAUCAUACCACAGUGAUAUAUGUGCACCCAUGUUCAUAGCGGCACAGUUUGUAAUAGCUAAAGCUUGGAAGCAGCCCAAAUGCCCAUCAACUGGAGACUGGAUAAAGAAGAUGUGGUUUUUUAAUAAAAUGAAGUACUAGUGAGCCAUAAAGAAUGAGAAACUAGAGACAUUUAUAGCUAAAUGGAUGCACAUUGAGGCGAUACUCUUAAGUGAAGUAAAUAGGACACACAUGUGUAAAUACCGAAUAGUUUCUCUAGUAUCAGAAAAUGAAAGUGUAAUUAAGGAUUAAAAUGAUUAAAAUGAAUAAUGGACAAUUUGAAAUAUGAAGAAAAGGUUCAAAGGGGUAGGGGUGGCAGGAGGGGAAGGGGAGAGAUCAGAGUUACAGGCUGGAAUCUGAAAAUAGUCCAUAUAUAGAUUGUGUUUAAAACUAUAGGAGGAGAUGUAGAUAGAGACUAGGCUGGAGCUCAUCAGUGGGUUGGGAAGGAAGAGUCACUGAGAUUAAAGGAGAGAAGGUUAUGUUUCCAGAAGAAGCACAUACAACUAUGUAUAGUACACAGUACUCAAUAGUGUGAUAAAUGACUGCUACUGUUUUAGGUACUUAUCAUAACAUGCUAUGCUUUUCAUCCUUUAGAGCAUAAUUCAACUUAUAAAAAAGAGUUUACUGUAAAACAGUGUGCUGCUAUGCCAGUGGUAGCCUCAUGUAUCUCGUGUUUAACUGCAUAUUUGGAUAAUAUCAAUGGGCCAUCACAGAUGAUUGACGUAUACCUUUUCAGUUUCCACUUAGAAGUUGGCACUCUUUGUGGUACUUUGUGAUACACAUGGAUGAAAUUGCAUAAUAACAUAUUUCUUAGAUUAUAUUUUCAUCAUGUGUCACA
rnacentral:lncRNA from 1 species